rnacentral:rRNA from 1 species
CGCACAGUAAACGAUGUGCACCAGGCGGCGGGGGCAACCUCGCUGCCGCAGUCAACGCAUUAAGUGCACCGCCUGGGGAGUAUGCCCGCAAGGGUGAAACUCAAAGGAAUUGACGGGGGCCCGCACAAGCGGUGGAGCAUGUGGUUUAAUUCGAUGAUACGCGAGAAACCUUACCAGGGCUUGACAUGUAUAGGAAGCGUGCUGAAAGGCAUGCGCCCCUCGGGGCCUUUACACAGGUGC